UACGUAGGGUGCAAGCGUUAAUCGGAAUUACUGGGCGUAAAGGGUGCGCAGGCGGUUCGUUAAGUCUGUCGUGAAAUCCCCGGGCUCAACCUGGGAAUGGCGAUGGAUACUGGCGAGCUAGAGUGUGUCAGAGGAUGGUGGAAUUCCCGGUGUAGCGGUGAAAUGCGUAGAGAUCGGGAGGAACAUCAGUGGCGAAGGCGGCCAUCUGGGACAACACUGACGCUGAAGCACGAAAGCGUGGGGAGCAAACAGG
rnacentral:rRNA from 1 species